GGGCAUAUCCCAGCAGAGAAGUCAGCACGCCUACGAUGAUGGUCACCACCGUGGCGGCGCUAUCGUCGCAGCAGUCACACCGCCCCACCGCUUUUCAACAGCUAACGCUGGCAGCCGCAGGUCGAUUCAAGACUCUGAGUCAUCAAUGAGCAGUUGCUUCCGGACACCGAGCACCGAUUCUUUGUCAGGGUAUAACACGAGUAUUCCUGCAAUCGCACCCCACGAAAUUGGAGACAAUUUUCCUUUUGCUCGCAGAUUCGAAGAGGAUUUUUAACCCAUCGAUAAGGCUGCUGAGAACGCCAUAUGGGUCAACCCAAAGGAAGCAGAUGAAUUUGUCACCUGCUAGCACUUGCUUUUCAAGGAGUUGAACAGGUGCAGCCCUCCAAAACAGAAGUGCUGAAGAAUGUACUAGUGCUGACAAGCGGUUGCAUUGAUAAAACAGCCAAGUAUGUUGUACAUGCUACCUUGUUUCAAUAAAGAGAAGUUACAUUUUCUUCACUUAAUUUUACUUUGGUAGCAAUGUUCUAGAAUAAAAUGCCAACAUUGCCAUUGAGACAAG